rnacentral:rRNA from 1 species
AUUGAACGCUGGCGGCAUGCCUUACACAUGCAAGUCGAACGGUAACGGGCCUUCGGGUGCCGACGAGUGGCGAACGGGUGAGUAAUGCAUCGGAACGAACCUUUCAGUGGGGGAUAACGUAGCGAAAGUUACGCUAAUACCGCAUAUUCUGUGAGCAGGAAAGCAGGGGAACGCAAGACCUUGCGCUGAUUGAGCGGCCGAUGUCAGAUUAGCUAGUUGGUGGGGUAAAGGCUCACCAAGGCGACGAUGUGUAGCGGGUCUGAGAGGAUGAUCCGCCACACUGGGACUGAGACACGGCCCAGACUCCUACGGGAGGCAGCAGUGGGGAAUUUUGGACAAGGGGGGCAACCCUGAUCCAGCCAUGCCGCGUGAGUGAAGAAGGCCUUCGGGUUGUAAAGCUCUUUCGGCCGGGAAGAAAUCGCACAGGCUAAUACCUUGUGUGGAUGACGGUACCGGAAUAAGAAGCACCGGCUAACUACGUGCCAGCCGCCGCAGUAAGAC